ensembl:lncRNA
GCAAGUGGAAGUGUUUCUGUGGUCAAGUGCUGAGCUUCACUUCUAAAGGAAAUUCAAAGAAGUAAAAAAAGACACAAAGCUCAGAAGACAGAGAGCUGUGCAGAGUUUAGAGCAUUCAACUUCAUCAUGAUGAAGCCUCACCUGCUCUUCACACUGAUGUAUUUCUGUCUGGAGUUGGACGCACACGAUCUUUCUCCACCCAAACUGACAGUGGAUGUAUCUGUGAUCAGAGAAACAGAUACAGUGACAUUAAAGUGUCAGAGUUCAUCUAUAGAUUCUACUUCCAAGUGUUCUUUCUUCGCUCAAAGUGAAACGCUCUUUGUGGGCAGCUGUCUGCAGAACAUAACAGGAGCUGAACUUCUGAUUGGAACUAAAAGAAGAUCUCCUGCUACCAUCGAGGUUAGAUGUUUGUACUCAGUAAAGGAAGGAACUUUUCAUCAUACAUCUGUAGAGAGUGAUCCAUCCACCAUUGAGAUAAACAGUAAGUUGUGUUUUUAAAGUUACUUUAUAUAUUUAAUAGAGAUGUUGUAUUAUGUUCUUCACAAACAGGAUCUAUCAUUUUAUUCAUCUCAUUUUCAGACCUUCUUCCACCUGAUCUGAUCGUGAAUCCACGGCUGAUCUCAGAAAAUGAUUCAGUCACAUUAAACUGUCAGACUUCAGUGUCUUUGACUGAAUGUUUGUGGCUCUUUAAGGGAAAAAGUCGAGCCCAACGUUUCUCUUGUUCUAAGACACUGACUGGAGCUGAGCUGAUAGAAAUGACGAGUCUAAGAGUUCCUGCUAAAGUCCGAGUUUCGUGCUCUUACCUUGAUGGUACAAAAUCUCCAGAAAGUGAAGAGAAGACCAUCACUAUCCAGUGUGAGUAAACACAAUGGAUGUGGUUCAACAGUGAAAGUGAAGAGAGUUAAAGUCAGAUUUGAUCUUUUAAGGAGGAAUAUUGUUAAAAAAAUCAAAUUUUUAAAUUAAAACUCUACUUUUCUUUAUAAAUGUAACAGUCAGAGGUAUAAUCCAUGAAAUGUUCUUUUUUUCAGUUCCUCAGCCUGAACUAAGAGUGAAUCCAGCUGAGAUCACAGAGAGAGACUCGGUCACACUGAACUGUGUGUCUCCAUCAUCUCUUUCUGUCUCUGAAUGUCAUUUCUACUUUUUGAAAACAAAAAUCACAAAAGGCAGCUCCUGCAUGCAGACGCUGACAGCAGCUGAACUUCUGUCCAUGUCAAGUCAAAGGUCACCUGCUGAUGUUGAACUAACGUGUUUUUACUCUGUGGAAGAGCAAGAAGGAAACUCUCCUCGCAGCAAUGUCAGCUACAUCCAUAUCAGUAAGUGAUCAAUUCUGGUUUUCUACAACAAUAUAUGAAUGUAAUGACUUCCUGUUGAAUUCUGACAACAUUUUAGAAAAUACCCCUACGACAACACAGCGGACGUCACCUUACAGAACCACCUCAGUUAUCUCAACAACAAUCGAGGAAAUCCUUUCAACAUCAACAACUGUUAACUCAGCAAGCAGUACUCGUAGAUCUCUUCAUACUUCUCUGAUGUCUACAAAUCCUCAACCAGGUAACAAACCAAAUGUGAAACAUGCUCAUAUAAUGCUGAAUGCUGUUAAAUCAUUCCACUUUUAUUUUUCAUAGAUCAUGGUUAGUGUAAAUAUUUUUACCACCAAUACAUGAAUAAUUGUAAAAAAAAAAAAAAGUUCCUCCACUGUUAAAGAGGGCAAGCUGAUCUAAUGAUGUCUUCUAAAAACAGCUGUAACCGAAGAGACUCGCACCACAACUACCACGCUGUUGACGUCUUACGUGACUUCAGUCACUCAAUCCACAGGUGAGUUUUCUGGACAUCUCAUAUAACAAAACAAGCUUCAGACUCAGAUUUGAUAGUGAUAUAUGGGGUAGCGACAUUUCAGUGUAAACAU